rnacentral:rRNA from 1 species
UACAGAGGGGGCAAGCGUUGUCCGGAUUUACUGGGCGUACAGCGCGCGCAGGCGGUUGCGUAUGUGAGCGGUGACAUCCGCGGGCUCAACCCGCGGCGGCCCGCUUACACAGCGCGACUGGAGGCAGGGAGAGGGAUGUGGAAUACCCGGUGGAGCGGUGAAAUGCGCAGAUAUCGGGAGGAACACCAAUGACGAAGGCAGCUCGCUGGGACGUGACUGACGCUGAGGUGCGAAAGCGUGGGGAGCAAACAGG